GGGUGAAAUAGAAAUAGAUGUGGACGGCUGGCAUCUUCCAUGGCAGAGACGGGAGCAGCCUUAGGGCCUUAUCUGACCAUACAUGUUUGGUUAAGGCUACCCAUCCUUAUGGUGGUUCUCUAACCCAAUUGUUUU